GAAUAUUAGUCAAUGAUCGAAAGAUUGAUCUAGUUACUUAGAAAGAUGAAGAUUAUAAUAAAUAUGUAAAAAAAAAUAAUAAUGAAGAAUAUAAAAUCAAUGUAUAUAUCAUUGAAUAAUGAUGAAGAUAUAUAUAGUAGUCUUAACCAAAAUUAGUGCCAGCAGUUGCGGCUAAACUAAGGAGGCUAACGUUAAUCAUUAAUGGCUUAAAGGAUCCGUAGAAUGAGUUUUAUUUUUAAAACUUAGAGUUAAAUUUAAUAAUUAUGAAAAAUUAAUAAGAGAGAUGAAAUGUGUGGAAAAUAAUUAGACAAAUAAACGUGAAGAUAAAAUUAGGAAUUUAACUGACAUUGAGGGAUGAAGGCAUGAGUAGCAAAACGGAUUAGAUACCCGAGUAGUUCAUGCAGUAAACGAUGAAUACCAAAAAAUCUGAGAAGAUUUAAGAAGCGAAAGCAUAAGUAUUCCGCCAGGAGAGUAUAGCUUCAAAGUUGAAAUCCAAGACAAUAGACGGUUACAGUUGUAGGCAGUGGAUUGUGUUAUUUAAU
rnacentral:rRNA from 1 species